rnacentral:misc_RNA from 1 species
GACGAAGAACGUAGCGAAAUGCGAUACGUAAUGUGAAUUGCAGAAUUCAGUGAAUCAUCGAAUCUUUGAACGCAUAUUGCGCUCUCUGGUAUUCCGGAGAGCAUGCUUGUUUGAGUAUCAGUAAACACCUCAACUCCCUUUUCUUUUUUGAAAUUGGAGCUGGACUUGAGUGAUCCCAACGCUUUCUUCCAAGAAAGUGGCGGGUUGCUUGAAAUGCAGGUGCAGCUGAACUUUUCUCUGAGCUAUAAGCAUAUCUAUUUAGUCUGCCUAAAAAACAGAUUAUUACCUUUGCUGCAGCUAACAUAAAGGAGACUAGUUCUUGUGCUGACUGAUGCAGGAUUCACAGAGACAGCUUCGGCUGACUUUGUAAACUCGAUCUCAAAUCAAGUAAGACUACCCGCUGAACUUAAGCAUAUCAAUAAGCGGAGGA